UACGUAGGUGGCGAGCGUUGUCCGGAUUUACUGGGCGUAAAGAGCUCGUAGGCGGUGUGUCACGUCGGCCGUGAAAACCUGGGGCUUAACUCUGGGCGUGCGGUCGAUACGGGCAUCACUAGAGUUCGGCAGGGGAGACUGGAAUUCCUGGUGUAGCGGUGAAAUGCGCAGAUAUCAGGAGGAACACCGGUGGCGAAGGCGGGUCUCUGGGCCGAUACUGACGCUGAGGAGCGAAAGCAUGGGUAGCGAACAGG
rnacentral:rRNA from 1 species